rnacentral:tRNA from 1 species
UCCCUGGUGACUUGAUGGUAAAGAAUCUGCCUGUGAUGCAGGAGACCCAGGUUUGAUCCCUGGGUUAGGAA